GGCGUUAUAGUGUAGUGGUUAUCACUCGGGAUUUUGAUCGUAGGAUUUCCCGAAACCCAGGUUCGAACCCUGGUAACGCCU
rnacentral:tRNA from 2 species